GACGACGAUAUCACAUUGAAACACCGGUGCCUGUACGAUCAGCGAAGUUAAGCAACAUCGUUCCUGGUCAGUAACUAGAUGCAUGACCGCUUGGGAAUAUCAGGUGCUGGAA